rnacentral:rRNA from 1 species
CACGAAGGGGGCUAGCGUUGCUCGGAAUCACUGGGCGUAAAGGGCGCGUAGGCGGCCAUUCAAGUCAGAGGUGAAAGCCCAAGGCUCAACCUUGGAAUUGCCUUUGAUACUGUUUGGCUUGAGACCGGAAGAGGUUAGUGGAACUGCGAGUGUAGAGGUGAAAUUCGUAGAUAUUCGCAAGAACACCAGUGGCGAAGGCGGCUAACUGGUCCGGUUCUGACGCUGAGGCGCGAAAGCGUGGGGAGCAAACAGG